rnacentral:rRNA from 1 species
GACAGAGGGGGCAAGCGUUGCUCGGAAUUACUGGGCGUAAAGGGCGCGUAGGCGGGAUGGCAAGUCGGUCGUGAAAUCCCUCGGCUCAACUGAGGAUCGUCGAUCGAUACUGCCGUUCUUGAGGAUUGCAGAGGAGACUGGAAUCCCCGGUGUAGCGGUGAAAUGUGUAGAGAUCGGGAGGAACACCGGUGGCGAAGGCGGGUCUCUGGGCAAUUCCUGACGCUGAGGCGCGAAAGCGUGGGGAGCAAACGGG